rnacentral:rRNA from 1 species
GAUGAACGCUGACAGAAUGCUUAACACGUGCAAGUCUACUUGAAUUUGGGUUUUUUAACUUAGAUUUGGGUGGCGGACGGGUGAGUAACGCGUAAAGAACUUGCCUCACAGCUAGGGACAACAUUUGGAAACGAAUGCUAAUACCUGAUAUUAUGAUUAUAAGGCAUCUUAGAAUUAUGAAAGCUAUAUGCGCUGUGAGAGAGCUUUGCGUCCCAUUAGCUAGUUGGAGAGGUAACGGCUCACCAAGGCGAUGAUGGGUAGCCGGCCUGAGAGGGUGAACGGCCACAAGGGGACUGAGACACGGCCCUUACUCCUACGGGAGGCAGCAGUGGGGAAUAUUGGACAAUGGACCAAGAGUCUGAUCCAGCAAUUCUGUGUGCACGAUGACGUUUUUCGGAAUGUAAAGUGCUUUCAGUUGGGAAGAAAAAAAUGACGGUACCAACAGAAGAAGUGACGGCUAAAUACGUG